rnacentral:rRNA from 1 species
GUCGAGCGAACGGACGAGAAGCUUGCUUCUCUGAUGUUAGCGGCGGACGGGUGAGUAACACGUGGAUAACCUACCUAUAAGACUGGGAUAACUUCGGGAAACCGGAGCUAAUACCGGAUAAUAUUUUGAACCGCAUGGUUCAAAAGUGAAAGACGGUCUUGCUGUCACUUAUAGAUGGAUCCGCGCUGCAUUAGCUAGUUGGUAAGGUAACGGCUUACCAAGGCAACGAUGCAUAGCCGACCUGAGAGGGUGAUCGGCCACACUGGAACUGAGACACGGUCCAGACUCCUACGGGAGGCAGCAGUAGGGAAUCUUCCGCAAUGGGCGAAAGCCUGACGGAGCAACGCCGCGUGAGUGAUGAAGGUCUUCGGAUCGUAAAACUCUGUUAUUAGGGAAGAACAUAUGUGUAAGUAACUGUGCACAUCUUGACGGUACCUAAUCAGAAAGCCACGGCUAACUACGUGCCAGCAGCCGCGGUAAUACGUAGGUGGCAAGCGUUAUCCGGAAUUAUUGGGCGUAAAGCGCGCGUAGGCGGUUUUUUAAGUCUGAUGUGAAAGCCCACGGCUCAACCGUGGAGGGUCAUUGGAAACUGGAAAACUUGAGUGCAGAAGAGGAAAGUGGAAUUCCAUGUGUAGCGGUGAAAUGCGCAGAGACAUGGAGGAACACCAGUGGCGAAGGCGACUUUCUGGUCUGUAACUGACGCUGAUGUGCGAAAGCGUGGGAUCAAACAGGAUUAGAUACCCUGGUAGUCCACGCCGUA